UGCAGUGAGCGCCUGACUUCUCCAGGAGU
rnacentral:piRNA from 1 species